AUCGAUUAAGAGUUUUUUUUUUUUGGGAAGGGGGGGGUAUCAUUUUUAUCAGUAAAUCUCAAGCCUAAGCCUACAUUGAACUGCUCGUGAUUGUGAUGUCAAGCCUUUAUUAAAUGAAGAUGGAGAGCCCUCCAACAUGUCCAUUAGCCAAUAUUAAACAACUGUAUCCGGACGCGGCUCUCCUCCGAUCCUUUGAAGGCGGGAUAACCCCCAGUCAAGCCCUCUCUGGCGCACACUGAGAUGGGAAUGGCCUUUUGGAGCUUUGCCGGUUCAAAGGGCUCUGCUGACUGAAGUGAUCCCCACGGCCUGAGUGGAAGAGUGGAGGGAGAGGAAGCCUCAGAGGGAAGAGGGAUAGCUGCUGAAGAGCUGACACACACACACACACACACACACACACACACACACACACACACACACACACACACACACACACACACACACACACACAC